rnacentral:rRNA from 1 species
CAGCAUAAUGGAUAGCAAUAUCUAUGGUGGCGACCGGCGCACGGGUGCGUAACGCGUAUGCAACCUACCUUUAACAGGGGGAUAACACUGAGAAAUUGGUACUAAUACCCCAUAACAUCAGGACCGGCAUCGGUUUUGGUUGAAAACUCCGGUGGUUAUGGAUGGGCAUGCGUUGUAUUAGCUGGUUGGUGAGGUAACGGCUCACCAAGGCAACGAUACAUAGGGGGACUGAGAGGUUGAACGGCCACAUUGGAACUGAGAUACGGUCCAGACUCC